AUACUUUGGUUUCUCUUACUAUCAUAUAAAUCUUUCGCCUUUU
rnacentral:snRNA from 1 species